UCUGUGUCUGUCUGUUUAUGUAUGUAUGUGUGUGUGUAUGUCAUUAUGUGUGUGUGUGUGUGUGUGUGUGUGUUUCAGUGUGCAUAGGAAUUCGUUCAUAUUUUUUAGUCUGGCCCCCAACAGUGUCUGAGGGACCGUGAACUGGCACCCUGUUUAAAAAGUUUGAGGACCCCUGAUCUAGACGCUAUAUUAGAGGCUUUCAGAAAUUUGCGUAGUUUGGCUUGGUUCAUUUAUGACGAAAUAUUUUGUCAGAAAUUAUCAGUGCAUAAGAAUUUGAGAAGGAUGUUGGUUCUUGGGUAAGCAUUAUGCUACCAAGCAGGAUUCCUUAGAAUCAAUGUAGAUGGCAGACUCAGGCGAGUGGGUUGCAAAUACGUCCAAAAGGUAUUUGUUGAUCUUUCAAUGAGUCACAGUGUAAAUGGCCGAAUUCUUGCAGGUUCAGACAUGAAUGCAUUAAUUGUGCUGGGAGUCAUCUGUCC